GAUGAACGCUAGCGGCAGGCCUAACACAUGCAAGUCGAGGGAGAAGCCUUUCGGGGCAGAAACCGGCGCACGGGUGAGUAACGCGUAUGCAACCUACCUUUCACAGGGGGAUAGCCCGAAGAAAUUUGGAUUAAUACCCCAUAAUAUUGUUGGAUGGCAUCAUCUGAUAAUUAAAACUGCGGUGGUGAAAGAUGGGCAUGCGUCCUAUUAGCUAGUUGGAGUGGUAACGGCACCCCAAGGCUACGAUAGGUAGGGGUCCUGAGAGGGAGAUCCCCCACACUGGUACUGAGACAGGGACCAGACUCCUACGGGAGGCAGCAGUGAGGAAUAUUGGUCAAUGGUCGGAAGACUGAACCAGCCAUGCCGCGUGCAGGAAGAAUGCCUUAUGGGUUGUAAACUGCUUUUAUAUGGGAAGAAUAAGGUGUACGUGUACAUUGAUGACGGUACCAUAUGAAUAAGCAUCGGCUAACUCCGUG
rnacentral:rRNA from 1 species